GGAGGAUACGGUGCAAGUGGAGAGUUCACUCUCUCUUCUGUGUUAACUCCUCCUUUAUUUUUCUUAUUUUUGGAACAUUGUAAUUAUGAUUUACAAUCAUAAUUUGCUAAUGAGUCAUUUAUCUUUGUAAUUAGAUUAGGUUAAUUUUUGUAUUAAUAUUUGGAUUAUGGAUGGAGUUUUUGGAGCAACAAGAAGUGACGAUUUCAAGAAGCUUUGUCAUCUUCGUUUCGUAAUCGGUAUUGGAAUCAUCGUGUAAGUGGCACUUAGGGACACAUCACUGUUAGGAGCAUUCGCAUGUGUUGUAUUUCAAUUUACAUUGUAAUUUCUUUUAAAAUUUGUUCAAACCCAUUGUAAAUUUGUAAUGAUUUUUAAUACUAUGGUUGGUGUUGUCUUUUAA